rnacentral:rRNA from 1 species
AGUAACGCGUGGUCAACCUUCCCUACAGUGGGGAUAACUAGCCGAAAGGUUAGCUAAUACCGCAUGACAUCUUCGAGAGGCAUCUUUGAAGAUAAAAGGAGCAAUCCGCUGAAGGACGGGACCGCGUCCCAUUAGCUAGUUGGUGGGGUAAUGGCCUACCAAGGCAACGAUGGGUAGCUGGUUUGAGAGAGCGACCAGCCACACUGGGACUGAGACACGGCCCAG